AGUGGUGACUGAGAGUCACCCCUCGAGUGCAAAGGGUUAACAUGUAUAAGUCCCUCGCUAACAGCUGUAUACCACUUUCCCCAUUCCCCCGCCUGCCGGCACGUACACUGGUUAUUGCGCGUAAUGGGACGUUUGACCUUCUUUACACUUGAGUAAUAUUUCAUACGCGACUCAUACUUCGAUCUCGCGAAUUGAAUGCCAGAUCCUCCGAUGUGCCUGUCUCUCACUAUGAACCGGAACAGCCACCGACAACGUGAAAAGAAGUUGACCGAUUACUCACCGCCGAUCACACGGUUCUGAAUGGAUGUAUCGGGAUUUACUCGUGCCUCGAAUCUCGACACCUAAACCAGCGAAACACACUUGUCGGGUGAUACACGCGCGACGGAGGCGGGACGAGCGACAUCGCGAGAAGAGGAGAACCGACUCCGAGACGCGCGCGGCAUCCGCGGAUCUACGGAUUCUACUUGAAAGUUCGACCGAGGCGAACGAUCAGAAUUUACCUUCAUCAUGGUACUUCGCUACAGUUCCCUCGAGAACUGUGUUUCCGGUCCCUGGCCCGGUGAUCUUAGCUACAACGCGGGAUCGCGGUGCGGAAGCGUGCGCGUGUAUCACACGACGUCAUCGUGGUCAUGGAAAUGUUUGACAGUUAAUUGGAAU